rnacentral:rRNA from 1 species
AUUGAACGCUGGCGGCAGGCCUAACACAUGCAAGUCGAACGAGUGGCGGACGGGUGAGUAAUGUCUGGGAAACUGCCUGAUGGAGGGGGAUAACUACUGGAAACGGUAGCUAAUACCGCAUACCAUCGGAUGUGCCCAGAUGGGAUUAGCUAGUAGGUGGGGUAAAGGCUCACCUAGGCGACGAUCCCUAGCUGGUCUAAGAGGAUGACCAGGCACAAUGGAAGUGAGACACGGUCCAGAAUCGUACGGGAGGCAGGAGUGGGGAAUAUUGCACAAAGGGAGGAAGCCUGAAGCAGCCAUGCCGCGUGUGGGAAGGAGGCCGUAGGGUUGUAAAGCAAUUUCAGCGAGGAGGCGUUACUCGCAGAAGAAGCACCGGCUAACUCCGUGCCAGCAGCCGCGGUAAUAC